GCGGAUUUUUGUGUAUGUGAGCCGAUGUGCGAGCAUUUCCUGCUCUAUCGGGAAGGGCUUAUAGGGCAGGGAAACUUGAGUUAAGGUUAAAAGAUGAGGAGUGUUUGGCAGGAGGACAGGAGUGUGUGGUGGGGCCUUCUCAGCAAAGACACACAGCGUGAUGGACUUGACCUGUAAAUCGUCCAGUUGGUUAGAGCAUGCGGUGCAUGUGAGGGAAGAAAUACACUGGUAGGUAGGGUCAGAUCUUGGAGGACUUUGGAUGCCAUGCUCUUUGGAUCUUAUUUUUAUGGGUCAUUGUGGAGAGGGGGAAGUAGAUUCGGAUUUCAGAAUCAGCACCCUGGCAGCACUGAGGAAAGCGACUUGGAGGAGGAGGACAAAGGCACUGGACGCAGAGACCAGUUAGGAGGCUCCUACGUGGGAGAAAGGCUGGAAUAAGGAAGGAAGCUUCCUUCCUCUGAAGGAAGACCAAGCUGGGAGACAUCAGGCUCAGGAGCAUACAGAACAAGGAAGGGAGACGAUUGGGUUGGAGGAACAUGGAAGGAGGUUUUAGCUGUUCUGGUACAAAUCAGUUUUUAUUGGUUAUAAUGCUUUCUGAGAAGUAGGGAAGAGAAAUUCUAAAAAUGUAAGUAAAAUAUUUAAUAUAAUUGUAGCUUCAUAAUGUUACCAGUAAUUCUCUUGCAUUCAACUGGAAACCAAGGUCCUGUGUUGACCUGGGCUGCCUUUCUGGUUCACCACACUGCUCAUGCCCUUGGGUUUCUGUCAUUCCCUGAGGGCUCAUUAUGCAUUAUCCUAACUGAGCUGGCCCCAUGGUGGUCUUUCUGUCCACUUUGCUUGUAACCCUUCUUCACCGGCUUUCUCAAAUUUAACAAUAUUGCUUAAAUCUGCUGUCUUCAACAAUGUCUGAUAUUUUGUCUUUAUUCAUCAAAAGAAUUGCAUUUGUUUCCCCAAAAGUUUUUUCACCCAAAACUGGAAACAACUUUAAGUAUCCUUUAGUGGGCAAAUGGGUAAACAUACUGUGGUAUAUCCAUAUAAUCGACCACUGUUCAGCAUUAUAGUAAGUGAAAGAAGCCAGUCACAAAAGAUUAUAUACUGUAAGAUUGCACUUGUUCGAGAUGUGGAAAAAGGCAAAACUAUAGGAACAGAGAACAGGUUGCCAGAGGUUGGGGUGGGGAGAGGGUCUGACCAGAAGGAGAACAUGAGCAAAUUCUUUAGGGUCUUGAAAAUUUCUGUGUCCUGUUUGUGGGGGUGGUUACAAGAAUCUGUGCCUGUGUUAAAAUUCACAGGAUUGGAGAUGCCUGGGGGGCUCAGUCGGUUAGGCAUC